GACGAACGCUGGCGGCGUGCUUAACACAUGCAAGUCGAACGCGCCUGUCCUCUGGGUUUCUGGGGGGUGGGUGAGUGGCGCACGGGUGAGUAACACGUGAGUAACCUGCCCCCUUCUUCGGGAUAACGGUCUGAAAGGGCUGCUAAUACCGGGUAUUCACUGGUCUCCGCAUGGGGUCUGGUGGAAAGGUUUUUUUCUGGUGGGGGAUGGGCUCGCGGCCUAUCAGCUUGUUGGUGGGGUGAUGGCCCACCAAGGCUUUGACGGGUAGCCGGCCUGAGAGGGUGAACGGUCACAUUGGGACUGAGAUACGGCCCAGACUCCUACGGGAGGCAGCAGUGGGGAAUAUGGCACAAUGGGCGCAAGCCUGAUGCAGCGACGCCGCGUGAGGGAUGGAGGCCUUCGGGUUGUGAACCUCUUUCGCCCGUGGUCAAGCCGCGACGUGGGUCGUGGUGAGGGUAGUGGGUAAAGAAGCGCCGGCUAACUACGUG
rnacentral:rRNA from 1 species